GCUGCAGUGGUAGGUUAUAAAAAUACCAAAAAAAAACAUCAACAAGACACUAAUAUAUGACAGAUGUUCAACACUGACAUUUUGUUUUGAUAAUCAUAUCAAUAUUAUAUAAUUUAUCCAAAUUCAAUUAAUUCCAAGAAACAAAAAAGUACAUAAAUUAAAAUCAUGAGUGAGACCAGGACCAGCUACACAGAUUGGGCGAUCCGUGCUGGUGUAUGUGGGACAAUAGCCUUUUUUGGAGUUCCAAUGAUAGUCAAAGCUGUUGGUUUCAAAUCAGCAGGUAUCCUCGCAGGAUCAAAAGCAGCUGGUGUAAUGUCAGCAAUGGCAACUGGUGGAACAACUGCUUCUGGAGGAGUAGUUGCAAGUUGUCAAAGUAUUGGUGCAGUCGGGGCAAUUGCCAAAAAAACAGCUGUUGUAAUUGGUUUAAUGAUGGUACCUCUUGCAGCAUCAGUGCCAUCGGUUGAAGAUUGCAAACCUAAAGCAUCAAAAGCAUAUGAUUUGGCAAAGAGUGGAGCUGGUGGUGCAGUUUCUCUGACAAAGUAUGCUUACUCUACACAUGCACCUCAAGUAUAUGAGUUAGCAAAGAGUGGAGUUAAUCAAGUUGGUAAUCUUGCAAGUGGUGCUGCUUCAUUGACAAAGUCAGUUUACUCUUUAAUAACUUCAUCUAGAGUUACGAUUAAUACUGCUGCUGCGGCGGUUCCUUGUUGAACACAGUCAGGACCACCAACAAUCAAAUUAUUUUCAGGGUAAUAUGACUCCAAUUAAAUGAUACGAUUAUUAUGCGAAUUUUAUUUUGAUAAACCAAUCUGAAAAAUUCUUGUAAAUUGAACUGUUGGAGUGGUUGGUCUUGGUUUCCAGUAAAUUCUUAGUCAUUCACAAGUUAAAAGUUAAAACUGGGAUUCCCAGUUUGAUUGGAGACCCUGAGUGGGGUGAUGCCUAGACCUAUAUAAACUACUCCUCUGGCUCUCAAAGGACACAAUCAAAAUCAACGUCAAAGUCGAUAAAUCAACAUCUUAAAAAAAAAAAAUUAAAAUGUCUAAAGGUCAACAAAACACUCAACAAGGUGGCAAAGGUGGUGGCCUUGGAUUCGGAACUCAAGGGAUCAAAGCUGACUCUCAGGCUGCUGGCAUAAUGCGUGAAGGUGCUGUCAAGGGAGAAGUGCCUAAAGGAGGCAUAGUCUCUCAGUUGCAGUCUCAUGGUGCUAAAAAACCAUUUUAAACACCAACUUAUAUUAUCUUACAUCAAUAUACAUGGCACAACUCAUUCCAAUUUAUUAUUAUUUACAUUAAUAAACUUUUUUUUUACAAAUCUUUGAAAUUAACUAUUCAAACAUUCAUAUUAUUGAAAAUGUAAACUUUUCUUUUUUUAAAUUGAUAUAAUAAUAAAAAUGAAAUAAAAAACAAUAAUUAAAUAA
rnacentral:lncRNA from 1 species